rnacentral:rRNA from 1 species
CAGCCGCCACGGGAAUACGUAGGGUGCGAGCGUUAAUCGGAAUUACUGGGCGUAAAGCGUGCGCAGGCGGUUGUGUAAGACAGGUGUGAAAUCCCCGGGCUUAACCUGGGAACUGCGCUUGUGACUGCACAGCUAGAGUAUGGCAGAGGGGGGUGGAAUUCCACGUGUAGCAGUGAAAUGCGUAGUGAUGUGGAGGAACACCGAUGGCGAAGGCAGCCCCCUGGGCCAAUACUGACGCUCAUGCACGAAAGCGUGGGGAGCAAACAGGAUUAGAUACCCGCGUAGUCCCUGUCUCUUAUAC